UACAUAGGGGGCAAGCGUUGUCCGGAAUCAUUGGGCGUAAAGAGCGUGUAGGCGGCUCGAUAAGUCUGCUGUGAAAGUCCAGGGCUCAACCCUGGAAGGCCGGUGGAAACUGUCGGGCUAGAGUCCGGAAGAGGCGAGUGGAAUUCCCGGUGUAGCGGUGAAAUGCGCAGAUAUCGGGAGGAACACCAAUGGCGAAGGCAGCUCGCUGGGACGGUACCGACACUGAGACGCGAAAGCGUGGGGAGCAAACAGG
rnacentral:rRNA from 1 species